rnacentral:rRNA from 1 species
AUAGCGUAUAUUAAAGUUGUUGUGGUUAAAACGCCCGUAGUUGGUUUUUCGGUCUCGAAGCUUGGUAGCUCGUAUGGGCUUAACUGAGUCUUCCGGCCUAAAUUUCUUGUACUCUCCCGAUGCUCUUUAUUGAGUGUCUCGAGAUGCUAGAACGUUUACUUUGAAAAAAUUAGAGUGCUAAAAGCAGGCUAUACGCUUGAAUAAAGUGCAUGGAAUAAUGGAAUAGGACUUUAGUUUUAUUUUGUUGGUUUUCGAAAUUAAAGUAAUGAUUAAGAGGAACAGACGGGGGCAUUCGUAUUGUUGCGUUAGAGGUGAAAUUCUUGGAUCGCAGCAAGACGAACAACUG